AGUGAACGCUGGCGGUAGGCCUAACACAUGCAAGUCGAACGGCAGCACAGUAAGAGCUUGCUCUUACGGGUGGCGAGUGGCGGACGGGUGAGGAAUACAUCGGAAUCUACUUUUUCGUGGGGGAUAACGUAGGGAAACUUACGCUAAUACCGCAUACGACCUACGGGUGAAAGCAGGGGAUCUUCGGACCUCGCGCGAUUGAAUGAGCCGAUGUCGGAUUAGCUAGUUGGCGGGGUAAAGGCCCACCAAGGCGACGAUCCGUAGCUGGUCUGAGAGGAUGAUCAGCCACACUGGAACUGAGACACGGUCCAGACUCCUACGGGAGGCAGCAGUGGGGAAUAUUGGACAAGGGGCGCAAGCCUGAUCCAGCCAUACCGCGUGGGUGAAGAAGGCCUUCGGGUUGUAAAGCCCUUUUGUUGGGAAAGAAAAGCAGCAGGUUAAUACCCCGCUGUUCUGACGGUACCCAAAGAAUAAGCACCGGCUAACUUCGUG
rnacentral:rRNA from 1 species